rnacentral:rRNA from 1 species
GACGAACGCUGGCGGCGUGCUUAACACAUGCAAGUCGAACGGAAAGGCCUGCUUUCCCUUGUGGAUUGCGGGUACUCGAGUGGCGAACGGGUGAGUAACACGUGAGUGAUCUGCCCCCAACUUGGGUAUAAGCCUGGGAAACUGGGUCUAAUUCCCGAUAGGACUGCAGGGUGGUGCCUGUGGUGGAAACGGUUUUUCUAGUGGUUGGGGAUGAGCUCGCGGCCUAUCAGCUUGUUGGUGGGGUAAUGGCCGACCAAGGCGGGGACGGGUAGCCGGCCUGGGAGGGUGGACGGCCACAGUGGGACUGAGAUACGGCCCAGACGCCUACGGGAGGCAGCAGUGGGGAAUAUUGCACAAUGGGCGGAAGCCUGAUGCAGCGACGCCGCGGGGGGGAUGACGGCCUUCGGGUUGUAAACUCCUUUCGACCGCGAGGAAGCCACCUGGUUGGAAGGGUGGUGACGGUAGUGGUAGAAGAAGCACCGGCUAACUACGUG